rnacentral:rRNA from 1 species
GACGAACGCUGGCGGCGUGCUUAACACAUGCAAGUCGAACGGAAAGGCCCUGCUUUUGUGGGGUGCUCGCGUGGCGAACGGGUGAGUAACCCGUGAGUAACCUGCCCUUGACUUUGGGAUAACUUCAGGAAACUGGGGCUAAUACCUGAUAGGAGCUCCUGCUGCAUGGUGGGGUUUGGAAAGUUUCGGCGGUUGGGGAUGGACUCGCGGCUUAUCAGCUUGUUGGUGGGGUAGUGGCUUACCAAGGCUUUGACGGGUAGCCGGCCUGAGAGGGUGACCGGCCACAUUGGGACUGAGAUACGGCCCAGACUCCUACGGGAGGCAGCAGUGGGGAAUAUUGCACAAUGGGCGGAAGCCUGAUGCAGCAACGCCGCGUGCGGGAUGACGGCCUUCGGGUUGUAAACCGCUUUCGCCUGUGACGAAGCGUGAGUGACGGUAAUGGGUAAAGAAGCACCGGCUAACUACGUG